CUGUUCUUUUAGCAACAUGAAACAUUUUUUUUUAUUUAAUUUACAGAGGAAUGUUAUGAUAAUUUGGAGUUCAGCCAAUAAUUAAGUAACAAGCUAGAUUUUUCGCUAAUUUGGCCCCUUACAGGUAAAAGGUAAAUAUACGGCUCCUUCUAGGUUUUGAUCACUAGAAAACAAGACCAAAUGGCUCUUUAAAGGUUGCCAACCCCUGUUCUAGAUCCACAUGUGGUGCAAAUUUCUCCAUAGACAUGCAGUAAGUAUGUCAUUCUAUGAAGCUUAAAGACUAAAUCAUAUCAGCGUUUCUUGCCCAUUGCUACACUGGAUCUCAACGCAAACAGUGCACGACCCUGGGUGGCUCUCAAAGCUAACUGAUUACCGCUAGUUUUGGAGAGAGAGCUUUUGUGUUAGCCCAGAGGUGGUUCAGACUUGUCAUAUAAGGAGUUUUUCUUUAUUGUCUGCAUCACCUCCUUUAGAAUCCGUUAAUUUUCUUGAUUUUGGGAGGGCCUGCUACUUGGAGUGCAUGUUUUAGAAGAAUACAAAAUACUGCUUUGGGAUUCUUUAUAGUCAGGAAUGAACAUUAUAAUACAUUUAAAAGCUCAAAAAGUUGACUUUGCGUGGUGUAGGCCCUUUAAAAUUCUUAUAGCAGUUGUGUAGCACUGCUGUACUGUUUUCUACAUAGAUUCACUUUGUGUUUUAUUCUAUAAAUUACUUAUGUGUCUCUUUUUUAAAAUAGACAACUGUGGGGGAAGAACGUUGAUAUUUGUUGGUGAAGAAGACCACCGGGUUCCAUCAACAUCAGGAACUCUGGUAGAUGGUGACCUCUUCAGAGUGGUGGGACGAAUCAUAGGGCAUUCUUUCCUCAAUCGUGGACCAUUGCUCUGUGGCCUUAAAAGUGACAGAGACCUCACAGAGGUUGAAAAGGGAGAGGUGAACCAUUUGGCCAUGAGUUGGGACCUGCCAAUGGUUACUAUCCAAAACCGUCGUUGGUUGGCAGAAAGAGUCCUGUAUCAUGGAGUCAUUGGUCGACGACUGCAGCAGAUUGCCCAAAUCAGAGCUGGGCUAAAAGAUACAGGGAUGCUGCAGAUGCUAAAGCGGCGCCCUGACUUGGCAGCAAUUCUUUUUCCAAGGGGGACUGAAGCAGUUUUGGAGCCUGAGGUUUAAAACACUUACAGUGCACAGUGUAGAAUACAAUAGCUGUCAUACUAAAUUAUCAGUUUAAAUUGUCAACUUAAUUUAAACCAAUAUUAACUUGUACAGACUAAUCUUUGCUUGUUUUGUUUUUAUUGUACUAAAUUAUUGAAGCUCAAAUCUCUUUUCUUAGUUUGUUCUUCAAAGAGUUCUUUGGCCAGAGCCAGACAGCGAUGAGGAGGAACACAUUGAAGUUCUUUGCAAAGCCACUUCAUUUCUAAGGGCUUACAUUGAAUCAGGGGAGACAAGUCAAUAUUUAAGAAAGAUGCAAUUUGACUUAAAUUUUUAUCUCUCUUAGUCAUUAAAGAGUAAUUCCCCAAAGCAAAUCUUGCAAAAGUACUUACUUACACAAAGCCACCACGAAUGGUAAUAAAACAUCACCGACUAUCAAGAGUUAGGACAAAACAUUGUCAUCAAAACUACACUUUUUACACGCUACAUCAAUUUAGGUUUCAUAUUCAUAAAGAUUUAUUUUUGUGCUAUCUAACCAUUUAAGGUAGAGGUACAAUGUAGAAAAACUUUUGUUUUAACUAUUUUACAUAUUUACUGUUAAACCUGGGUUUUUGUUAACUUCAUCAGAAAUACUCAAUGUAUAUAAUUAUGAUAUUAUAAUAAUCUCUAAAAGAUCGAGAACAAUACAUACAAAUAAACAGCACCAAAUCUAAAUUAUGUAACAUCACUUGUGGUGUACCUCAAGGCUCAGUCCUUGGCCCUAAAUUAUUUUUUAUCUAUAUAAAUAAUUUAAGCUCAAUAUCCCAAAAAUUAAAUUCCAUUUUAUUUGCGGACGGCACAACCUUUUAUUACACAGGAGACAAAAUUGAACAUAUGAUAGAGGUGGUGCAGACGGAGUUAGAAAAAUCAAAUUGUGGUUUGACGGAAAUAAAAUAUCAUUAAUUAGUUACUAAUCAUAUUUUAUGAUAUUUAGUAAUAGAAAUAAAACAACACAAUUCUAUUAAACAUAGAUAAUAUUAUUAUCAAAAGAGUAAAAGUAGUACAAAUUUUAGGAGUUAUUAUAAACGAAAAGCUAUCUUGGAAAUCACAAAUUAACGCUGUCAAAUCCAAAAUAGCAAAAGCAAUUGCAAUACUACACAAAGUAAAGUGGUUCUUAAACGGUAACACAUUACAUCUAUUAUAUAAUUCCUUGAUUAUUCAAUACCUGAACUACUGUAUAGAAAUUUGGGGUACAACUUAUAAAACAUAUAUUCAUCCAAUCUACAUAUUGCCAAAAAAACAAUAAAAAUUGUCACUAAAAGAAAUUAUAGGGACCCGUCUAAUCCAUUAUUUAUUAAAUUAAAACUAUUAAAACUUGAUGAUCUUAUAAACUUUAAUAUUUAGAAAUGUAUGUAUAGGGUAAAUAUGAAAUGCCUUCCUCCUAAUUUAAUGAAAAAAUGAAUGAAAAAAUGAAUGAAAAUUUAAUCGAAAAGGACUUGAAAUAUUUAUUAAACCAAAACACAGAUCACUGCUAAAAGAACGAUGUGUAUCAGUAUAUGGAGUUAAUAAAUGGAAUAAGUUCAGUGUAAAAAUUAAAAAUGCUACAACAGUAUCAAGUUUUAAAAACAACAUUAAAAACAGUAUUAUCAAUGACUAUAAAACUAUCCAAUACAAAUAACAAUUACUGGUCCCUGAGGUAUGAUGUUCAUUUCUCACUGGUUGAUAUGAUCAAAUUUGUUUUUUUUCUUUUACAAUCUACUCUUAUUGUAUACUAAAUCGGCUGAAUGGUUGUGUAUCUGUAUCUUUUUUGUGAUUCAUUCAUUGAUUUGUUAAAAGGGGCAGACAAAAUAGGUUUUUCUUCUUUCUGUCCCCUUUUCAUUUUUUUCCUCAAGUGUUUUUACUAUUAACAAAUAACAAUUAAAAAAAGAAGAUUACCCUUGUAAUAAGUUUUUGUAGUAUUUACAUAGACUUGAAAAUAAAGUACCAACUUCAAAAAGUAAUGUAUUUUAUUAUGUUUUGAAGCCUCUUCCUCAGAACUACGGGAACUUGUUCAGUUUUGGACAGGAUGGACAGUUGUCCCGGAACAGAUGACUGUAGAGGUUGAAGCAGAUCUCACUUUCCCAGUUGCAUCCACUUGCUUCACCACUCUCAAGAUUCCCGGAAGAUACAAGACCUUUCCUGAGUUUAGCAACUCACUAAGUAACUCACAACUCACUAGCAACUCAACUUUAUAAUGUAUAUUUUUAUUUUAUUUUUUAUCCUGUAUCUCUAUCUAUCUCUGUACCUGCGCUGUUGCACAUUGCAAUUUCCCCACUGUGGGACAAUUAAAGGUUUUCUUAUCUUAUCUUAUCUUAUCUUACUAACAGCCGCUGUGGCAACAACACAGUUUGGCUUUGGGCGUGUGUGAAUGAUAACUAAAUGUAUACCUUUUUUGCAAUCUUUUUCACAACUUUAUUCUUCUUUUUGAUAUGCUGUUUUGAGUUGAAUUACCAGUCUUUGUUAAUUUUGUA